rnacentral:lncRNA from 1 species
CGGGGCCUUAGCGGACGGAGGGGAGCGCGGGGGUCACCGGGCCGGGCCGGCAGCCCUAGAGCUCGGCCUGGCGGGGACCCUGGGCCAGCCCCGCGCCUCCGUGGCCCGGGCGUCUCGUGCGUGUCCGCGAACUCGCGUGCGCGCGUCACCUCGGACCGCAGCAUGGCUCGGAGGGCGGCCCUACUCGCGCCGCCCUAGUGCUGCGAAGGGCCUCGGAGCCCAAACCCGGAACCGCCAUCUGGGACUGGGAAGACGACAUGGCCAGAAGCCGACUGGACAGCCGGCACCACCCCAUGAUUCAAGGAUGGCCAUAGCCCAGUGCAGGAGCAGAUUUGCUUCCAGUUUGCCCUUCCUCCUAGGUGGAGUCUCGCUCUGUCACCCAGGCUGGAGUGCAAUGGCACGGUCUCAGCUCACUGCAACCUCUGCCUCCCAGAUUCAAGCAAUUCUGCCUCAACCUCCUGAGUAGCUGGGACUACAGGCACGUGUCACCACGCCCAGCUAUUUUUUUUUUUUUUUUUUUUUUUUUGAGACAGAGUCUCCCUCUGUCGCCCAGGCUGGAGUGCAAUGGCGCAAUCUCAGCUCACUGCAAGCUCCGCCUCCCCGGUUCCCGCCAUUCUCUUGCCUCAGCCUCCCGAGUAGCUGGCACUACAGGCGCCUGCCACCCAUGACCGGGUAAUUUUUUUUGUAUUUUUUAGUAGAGACGGGGUUUCACUGUGUUAGCCAGGAUGGUCUCGAUCUCCUGACCUCAUGAUCCGCCCGCCUCGGCCUCCCAAAGUGCUGGGAUUACAGGCGUGAGCCACCAUGCCCGGCCUUAAUAACUUUUUAAAGGAUGUCAAGUUAAUGGAAUGUAUUCUGCUUUAGAAAAUAAAACUCUUAGGUUUUCAAAACUUAGCAGCCCCAGCAUUACCAAGGGCCUGCCUACCGUUUACAGUAUGUGAAUCCUACUUCCUUUUCAUGGUUGUAAGACUGGGAUUUUCUGGGAGCCGACCUGCAGGAGUCCACAGGCCACCCGUUAGGACUGUGCACGCUCCUCCACAAACAUGCCUGUGGGGGGAUCCUUGGCUCUCUCUGCAGGGGUGCGUUGGGUGUGCACCAGCUGGGAAGGAAGGAUCUGUCGGAACUGCAAUCAAAGCCACGGCAGGCCUCCCAGGGUCUUACUGGUGGUGAAAACAACCAGCUUCCUCGUCCCUCCCUCAAGCAUGGCAACCACCGCCCUGAGACUCAAAGAUACCUGGAGGAGUGUGAUCGGGCUGACCUGUUGCUCUUAUCUGGAAUUCUUUGAGGGUGAUGGGAGAUCACUUCUUUUUUUUUUUUUUUUUUUUUUUUGAGACAGGAUCUUGUUUUGUCAACCAGGCUGGAGUGCAGGUUCAGGUGAUUCUUCCGCCUCAGCCUCCCCAAGUAGGCUGAGUAGCUGAGAAAACAGAUGCGCACCACCAUGCCUGGUUAAUUUUUGGAUGUUUUGCAGCCAUGUGGUUUCACCAUGUUGUCCAGUCUGGUCUUGAACUCCUGAGCUCAAGGGAUCCUCCCACCUCGGCCUCCCAAAGCAUUGAGAUUACAGGUAUGAGCCACUGUACCCGGCUACCCAGGAGAUUACUAUUUUUUGGCAUAAAACCAAACAAAACUAUUCAUUAGUUUAUCCACUCAACAUUGAUUUAUUAUUCCUGACUGCAGCCAACAACAUUGUGAAUACUUUCCCUGCCUCAAGCUCUGUUCUAGGUCCUAGAACAUUCAUGACAAUUUGUUUCUCUGCCCUCUGGCAGGUGAGAAAACUUUGUAAGAAGUUUCAAUAGCAAAAAGUAUGAGAAGAUGUACAAUAGAUCUGGGACUAUUUGUAACAAACCCGGUGGAAGAUGUAGGAGCAGAGGUGGAAGGCCUUAAAGAGGGUCCUGCGCAUGCCGGGCGGGCCUCCAACAGAGAAAACACACAACCUGGCCAGGCACAGUGGCUCACGCCUGUAAUCCCAGCACUUUGGGAGGCCAGUGCGGGUGGAUCACCUGAGGUCAGGAGUUCGAGAUCAGCCUGGCCAAUGUAGUGAAACCCCAGUCUCUACCAAAAAUACAAAAAUUAGCCGGGCUUGGCACAGGCUUGCAAUCCCAGCUGAGGCAGGAGAAUCGCUUGAACCUGGGAGGUGGAGGUUGCAAUGAGCCAAGAUCAUGCUUUUGCACUCCAGCCUGGACGACAGAGUGAGACUCUGUCUCAAAACAAAAUAAAUAAAAUAGACACGCAAUCCAUACCACAGCCACCAGGGUGAUUGUCCAGGUUGUAUUUCUGCUGACAUCGACCCUUCAUGCCUUCCUCUUGUUGACCCUUCCAGCUACACCUAGCUCGGUCCUCUUCGGAGCCACGCCAACACCCAGGUUCCUCUGCAGUGCAUCCCCAUGGGGAUUUACCCGGCCCCCACAUGCCAGACCAUCGUUGGUGGACCUCGUCACCAGCAUGAAGUGGGCUCUUGGAGUUGUCGACUGACUAGUUCACAAUUAGUGACUCAUAGCAUCUCACUCAUUUCCUUUUCAUCAGUAGGAGGCAGCAGUCUGCACUUUUGCAUCACAUUUCAAAGACAUCUGUGUGUUUGUUCUCGUGCAGAACACUUUGACUAUUGUAACCUCUAGGUCCAUGAAUGACCCUCAUCUUCAGUAAAAGUGGAUUCACGCUGGCAAAGUCUGCUUUGUUUUAUUGUGACACAUGGAACAUUAUGGAUUUUGGUGAAUAAAAACUAACUUAAAUUGAAGUCAUUCUUGUAAAAUGAAAAUACAUUUUUCUGCUGUUCUUAACUUUAUAAUAUAGAUACAUACUAUGUCUUAUGAAAUAGUAAAUGGAAAACACGAUUCAAAAAGCGCUAUUUUGGUAAAUAACUUGCAUAAAGGGCAUAUGGACAACACAAGUCCACAACACAAUAGACAACAGACAACACAACCUGUUACACAGGCACUCAAGUUCGUCUGCAG